UACGAAGGGGGCUAGCGUUGCUCGGAAUGACUGGGCGUAAAGGGCGCGUAGGCGGAUGGUACAGUCAGAUGUGAAAUUCCCGGGCUUAACCUGGGGGCUGCAUUUGAUACGUGCGAUCUGGAGUGAGGAAGAGGGUCGUGGAAUUCCCAGUGUAGAGGGGAAAUUCGUAGAUAUUCGCAAGAACACCAGUGGCGAAGGCGGCUCACUGGCCCGAUACUGACGCUGAGGUGCGAAAGCGUGGGGAGCAAACAGG
rnacentral:rRNA from 1 species